rnacentral:rRNA from 1 species
UACAGAGGUCUCAAGCGUUGUUCGGAUUCAUUGGGCGUAAAGGGUGUGUAGGUGGCGCCGUAAGUCAGGUGUGAAAUCUCGGGGCUUAACUCCGAAACUGCAUUUGAUACUGCGGUGCUUGAGGACUGGAGAGGAGACUGGAAUUUAUGGUGUAGCAGUGAAGUGCGUAGAUAUCAUAAGGAAGACCAGUGGCGAAGGCGGGUCUCUGGACAGUUCCUGACACUGAGACACGAAGGCCAGGGGAGCAAACGGG